UUCCGCCGCCGACCCGCGUGACGGGAGGCGGAGAGGACGUUCGGUGCGGGGCAGCUCAAUCGGGCGGAAGUAAUCCUGUGUAUCUAACUAUAUUAAAAGACCUUCUUCUUCAUUGAGGCUGAGGCAGGAGACUCUCCAUUUCCAAGCUGGGUUACAUGAUCAACCUCAACCCCAGAUGUCUUCGGCCUUUAUCCACCUUGGUUUCUAAGAGACGGACGGGGUCUCUCACUGGGACCAGGAGCUCAUUGGAUCAGCUACACACGCAGGCAGGAAGAUGCAGAGAUCUGCCUGUCUGUCAUCCUAGUGCUGGGAUUACAGUCAUACCAUUUCUGAAAUAGGUGGUAAAGACUGAACUUGGGUCCUCAUGGUUCUGUGGCAGGCACUUGAUCAAAUAAACUAUCACUCCAGCCCAUUUUACAGAACCUUGUAACAUCAGAAAGAAAAAGAAAGAAAGAAAGAAAGAAAAAAGCUUAUUCUAUGUCUUGUGUAUUGGUAUCAGCAGAAUCAGACCUUCCAGGUUUUUAGACCCCUCUCCCAUUUCCUUUUUAAAACUGUCACCUGUAGGUCUUGGUGCUGAGCAUUAGACCAUUGCCUCAUCCAUGCUGAGCAUGGGUGCUACUGCUGAACUGUCUCCCAAAGCUGCCCACUGCUGCUUUGUCUUGAGUAUGUUCUGCACUUUGGGUUAAACUCUAGAUAGUCCUUGAUUUGGAAGACUGGGGUUUACAAUGCUGUUCAUGAGAAAUAUACCUCCUGCGUGUUCCAAUGUAUUUUUUUCUCUCUCUUUAAAGAUAACCAUGUGUACAUAAAGAGAGACCCACUUCGUCUCUCUUCUCAGGGCAAAUGAGAAGCUAGUUUUGUCCCUGGGGGAAGUGGACCCAGAGAGACCUGUAACUGAUGUCAUUUGUGUGAGACAAAAUAAAUGUUACAGACAACUGUGACAUCACACUUCAGCACUCUUCAGUCACCUCUCUUUACUGAAUAACCCUCACUGCUUCAAACAGUCACAAGAUUCUCAACAUAUGGAACUAGAGGAAAAUGACCCCAACAGAGUCAAAAAUCCUUGGGGAGCUUGGGGAGAAAUGGGUAUUUCUCCUCCAAAUUGUCCUCUGACCUCCACAGGUGCACAGUGUCAUGCACACACAGACACAUACAAAUAAAUAAUUUAAAAACUUACCAGCAUGCUUUUAUUUAAAUCUGCUCAGUUGUUCAGAUUUAUGCCAAGAAUCGUUAAUUACUGUUCCCCCCCUUCCCCAGUGUCUAGUUAUAGUAGCCCAGGCUAACCUCAAACUUUCAGUCUUCCUACCUCAGUGUUCUGAAUUCUGGGAUUGUAGAUUACCUCUAUGACUGUCCUUGUUUCUCAAUCAUUUCCUAAUUUAAGGAAUCUGGAAGCCAGUUCUUAAGAACGUUAUAAACCAGAUAAACAAUGUAUGCCUUUAGUAGCACAACUACUAAAAACUCAGAUAUUGGGUUUCAACCUGAAUAUCAGAAAGCCAAACCACUAGAGAGCUCUUACCUCUAUGAAACCUUCAGACUGAAAAAGGGGCAAGUUCUUGUCUCAUCCUGCCUUAUAUUCCUCUUUGGUGCUGGCAUUAAAGGCAUG